AUCUGGCAGAGUGGACCUCCUAUGAGAACUGGCUGUGAGCUGUGGAGCCCAGGGCCGGAGGAGCAGUAAGGGUGGCAUGGGGACCAGGACAGGCUGCUGCGGGCCAGGGGCAAACACGUCAGGCCUGGCCCCCAGUCCGCUGCUGCCCCUCCCUUUCACCUUCCAUCCAGCACUAAGGGAGUCUGGCCACGGCCUAAUAUAGGAGGGCUUGUGGAAGGAGACACCCACCCCCUCUUUCUGCACCUCUCCCCUCUUCCAUGCCACCCCCAGGCCAGGAGCCACCACAGCCCUGUCUGUGACUCUCAGCUCCCGAGGCUGGGCUCUUCCCCAGGGAAGCUGCAUGACCAUGGCCACAUACAGGAGGUAGGAGACAGAGGCCUCCACGGUGGACGAUCGUGGCGUGAAGUCCACGUUGACCACGUUGUCGGUGCUGGGGGAGCGGAUGAAGGCCAGGGACCCGCGGCGCUCUCCCUGUGGUCAGGAAGCAGCCCGGAGACCCUAAAACUCCAUUGGCCUCAUGUCCAGAACUGAAUCAGCCAGUGCCAGAGCCUGCUGCAGCCCCGACCCGGCAGAGCAAGCGGCUCUGCUACCUCAGCCACGUAGCUGAUGGCAUCCUUCAGGUUCAGCUCGUGGAAGACAUUCAGGAUCCGGUCUCGAGACUUCUGGGCCGACCGUCUCAUGAGGACCCUGCUGAGGAACUUCCUGUCGAAGUGGGACCACCUGUAGGGACAGACCUUGGGUGUGAGCCUCAGGUGACAGGCGCCCUAGAGCCCGCCGGACGCGUGGCCCGGCCCCUUCUCUCCUGAAUUUUGUUUGCUAUAGUGACCCUGUAGGCGCGUUUAAAAUGAGGGAAGCAGCCCCUGCCACACGCCCAGGCCGUCCGCCGUUCUCCCGCCUGUCCUGUUGGAUGGAGGCCGUUAGACGCAUAUGAAACUGCAUGCCGCCUCCUCCAGAGGGUGGCUCAGGACACGCCUAACGGAAUUAGAGUAUUCGCUGGUUAUCCAGAUCAGAAGGGACGGUGGCCUGGCCGGACUUAGAGGAAACUCUGGGGCACAAGGAGGUGAUGCCUGUCACUUGGACAUGGGUGCAGCCGCCAGAGCCGCCCUCCAGGGCACAGGGUGGGCCCGGGUGAGCUUGUGUGCUCACACCUGGGCAGGCCCCGCGGCAGCAAUGGCAGCUCUCCUGUACAGGCUGAGUUUCAGCCACACCAAGAAGUCAAAGCUAACCGAGGCUGUGCCUUCCGAGACCCCCGGGAUGGCCCCUGGGAGGCCAAGGAGUCGGGGACUGGGUACCCGGAGCAGAGUCACUGUGGCCACGGAGAACCGCAGCUGAGCUUUAUGAAGCCACGUGGCCACACCUCCCGGUGCCUCCACCCCAAGCAAACACAGAUCGCUCAGAAAAUGGGAACCCAGGGCAAAUUGUAUGUGCUCCUUACUGGGU
rnacentral:lncRNA from 1 species